GAUUACCUUUCUUUUGAUUAUACUUUUGUUAAAAUCGCUUAACUUUUUUAUAGAAAUUUUGUAACUUUUGAAAUCAUCUAUAUGUAAGCAGAGAAAAAGUCGUAAAAUUUUGCAAAGUUGUGAUAAAACUGAAUUUUUGUGGACCACUAUAAAUUAUUUGCAACUGUUAAUAUAUAUCAAAAGAAAGGUAAAACAUUUUCUUUUGUUGCAUGUCGGUAUUCGCCUUCUCUCUUCUGAGAAGUCUUGUCAAGUAGAAUCUAAUGUCGCUAAUGAAAUGUUAAAAGAAUUUGUAAAGUUGUUUAGUAAUAUUUAUGGCGAACAUUUAAUAAGUUUCAAUGUCCAUGGUCUUUUGCAUUUAAGUGAUUGCGUUAAACAAUUUGGUCCUUUCGACAAUUUUUCUGCAUAUAAAUUCGAAAAUUAUAUGCAAUAUAUAAAAAAAAUUAUUAAUAAUCCAAAUAAAAUAUUGCAGCAACUAUUUUUAAGAAUAGAAGAACGAAGAGAUAUUACGGAUUCUAGCAAAAUUUCACAAAUAGAUAAGUUUAUUAUAAAUUGCAAAAAAGAAAAAGAUAGUUUCUUCUUUAGUAAAAAAAACGGGAUCCCUAAAAAUUGUCAACCAACAAACCCAAACAGACAGUUUUCGCGUUGUAGUUUUGACAAAGGGUGGGGACAUUUUUAGGGAGCCCAUGGUGUCCUCAUCUGAUUUAGGUAUUUUUGUAGCUCAAACUAUAGAUGAAGACAUUCAAAUUAUUAAGAGAGAAGAUAUAGACCAUAAGUUUUUUGCUAUUCCAGUGGGGAAUAAAUUUAUUUUAAUUCCUAUGUUACAUAACUUAUUUUAUAAUUUUACUUAGAAAGAAAUGGAAUUCAGUUUUAUAAUUGAUGGAGAGGAGGAGCCGGAUAUAAGUCAGGCAAAUGCUGGAGGAUCUCGCCGUUUCGACGUGUCCCAGCCUUUCCUCGACCGUAUGGCCACCCAACCUGCCAUGGAUAAUGACUCAGCGCUACAACAAAUUUUGGCUGCCCUUGGAAGAGUGGAGUCUCGACAGGAGGAAAUAUUGAGAAGGCUUUCCUCCGUAGAAAGCGCCCUUGCCGAGAAGAUGCCCGAGCGUUGUGAGGUUCAGGCGCCGGGUCAACUGCUGCGUGAAUGCAAGGUGCUCUCUGCAAAAACCCACCGCAGUGUAAGCCGAAUCACAGGUGACUUGGUAAGUGAAGAGCAAACUUUGCUGCAAAGUUUGCUACCAAUGUCAUCGGAGGAAACCCUGCUUAAGGUGGAGGAGCACCUUCAAAACAAGGCACACGCUGACGCUAUGGCGGGCAUCAUCAUCCAGCUGAAAACAUCUAGAUGUACAUUGGAGAAAGUGCUGCAGUCGUUGUUCAGUGACGAGUUGGUGUGGCUGUACAACUUCGAUGGAAAGGCAGGGAAAAAGGCACUAAUAAAAUUAAAACCUGUCGACCUGGUUCUUGGUUGCUGUACAAAAGACGUCUUGAAGCAUAGGCAGCUACAUUUAAAGAAAUAUAUAUAUUUUAAUACAUAAAUUAUUUAUUUUUAGUUAUUCAAAUUUUUUUAAUUUUUCGUUUAGAUUGUUUCUAUCGGAGAGUCAUUGGAUGUUGCCCAUAGCUAUUGGAAAAUGCUGCAUGGGAAAGAUGAUAACAAAGAUGAAGGGAAAGAUGCCUACAAACGUCUCGAUUCAGUGGAGUCAUCAUAGGAGCAGUAAAUGGUGUUCGGUGAUUCUGCCAAUUUAAUAUGAAGUGUCCGACAAACGCCAGCAGUUACUUGAAAUCAACUUUUUAAAAGAUCUAUAUAUAAGUCGUAAAAACGCAAUCAAAUUUUGCAAUGUUGUAACGAAACCGAUUUUUUGUGAACCAAUGUAAAUGAUUUGCAACUAUUAAUAUAUAUCAAAAGAAGGGUAAAUCGAUUACCUUUCUUUUG